AUUCCUACCUGAAAAAAAAAAAAAAACAGAAACUGAACAUUUUGAGCAAAGACCCUUCGCUCAAAAUGUUGAGUUUCUGCUUGUUUUUUUUUUUCUUUUCA